rnacentral:misc_RNA from 1 species
UGUUGCCGUGUUAUUACGGCUCGUCUUAAAUGCCUGAGUGUACCUUGCUUUGCAGCGUAUCCGAUGUAAUAAAUAUUCAUCAGAGUUGGUCGCAAGACCGCGUUUUGUAUUGUCAAGCUCUAUGCUUCAAACCGUCCUUUAUGGACAAACUUAACUGACAAUUUGACCUCAAAUCGGGUGGGACUACCCGCUGAACUUAA